GUUUGUGUGAGUGUGUGUGAGUAUCCUCCCAGCUUACAUAUGCACAUGUACCAGAAACUAGACGUACAACACACACACACACACACACACACACACACACACACACACACACACAUAUACAGUCUCACGUGUUUCAACACACCCAUCACCCAGCUUCCCGUCCAGCUUCUUCUUUUUCUCUAAACUUCGGCAAAAUAGAACAGAGUGUGUUCACUGCAGUGUCAGGUGCAGAGAAACACACACACACACACACACACACACACACACACUGAGAUAUAGAUGAUAAUCGAAGUGAGAUGAAAAGAGGAGGAGCAGGAGGAGGAUAUAUGGGUCAUCGAUAGACGUGUGAGACGUUUUGUGACAGAAGCGUGUCAGACUCUCGGCUCAGUGGGACGACACUCGCUCAGGAAGGUGAGUAACAUCUUCAGACUUUAUUCACACUACAAACCGGUGAAAGUGUAAAAUCGAUGGUGGGAUUAGAGCGCGUGUGAGAUUAGGAGUGAACGCUAGAAAAGGAAAGAAGCUCAGAGACCCGUGUGAUGGGCGAUGCUCAAAGCUGAACGUUUCCUCUCGAGCAGAGCUCUACACCACACGCUUCCACGCUGCAGCGCGGGCCCGAGGCUCUGCAGUGACACGAGCCGCGUCGCGAGACCGAACUCUUCACCACACGCACAACUCGUUCAUGUGCAUAACGUCUACAACAAAAUGAGGAAGAAGGUGCUGUAGAAUUAUUAUCAUUAUCAACUGCAUACGCGAGGAGGAGAACUGCUGCUUUACACAUCCUGUACAAGCCACACAUGCAUUUAUAUUAUUCACAACAACAACAACAACAACAACAACAACAAUAAUAAUAAUAAUAAUAAUAAUAAUAAUCUUUUAUUCAAUUUGUGCACAUUUUGUACAUAAAGUGCAUUUCAAAACACUUGAUGACACGAGGACAUGACAAAGAGCUGAUGAAGAAGUCCUGUGUGUGUGAGAGUGUGUGAGAGUGUGUGAGAGAGUGUGUGAGAGUGUGUGUGAGUGUGUGAGAGUGUUUGAGAGUGUGUGUGAGCGUGUGAGAGUGUGAGAGUGUGUGAGUGUGUGAGAGUGUGAAGAGUGUGUGUGAGAGUGUGAGAGUGUGUGAGAGUGUGUGUGAGAGUGUGAGAGUGUGUGAGAGUGUGAGUGUGUGAGAGUGUGUGUGAGUGUGUGUGAGAGUGUGUGUGAGUGUGAGAGUGUGUGUGAGUGUGAGAGUGUGUGAGAGUGUGUGUGAGAGUGAGAGUGUGAGAGUGUGUGUGAGAGUGUGUGAGAGUGUGUGUGAGUGUGUGAGAGUGUGAGAGUGUGUGAGUGUGUGAGAGUGUGUGAGAGUAUGUGAGAGUGUGUGUGAGUGUGUGAGAGUGUGUGAGAGUGUGUGUGAGUGUGUGAGAGUGUGAGAGUGUGUGAGAGUAUGUGAGAGUGUGUGAGAGUGUGUGAGAGUGUGUGAGAGUGUGUGUGAGAGUGUGUGUGAGAGUGUGAGAGUGUGUGAGAGUGUGUUGAUGAGCAGUGUGGUUUCCAGUGUGUGGAAGUGUUUAAAGACGGCGUGUGUUUUUGUCUGCUCGGGUGUUUAAUGUAACGAUGGGCUCGUGUUGAAUCCUCUAAAGCGAUGGACUGGAACAUGACGUGUAGAGACGUGUCGUUGGGUUAAAGCCCAUGCAAGCUGUUAACUUUACUGCAACCUUAAUGUUCUGAAAAUAACGGUCGUGAACGUUCCUACAACGCUGCUGUAACACUUUAUAUAACGUUCCUGUGAUUACAGCAGACGUUUUUGUGUUUGUUUGUUUGUUUUUUAUAACGUUGUAUGAACGUUAUUUCUAGAACGUUAUGACCCGACCUUCUUAGAACCUGCUGAAUAUUCACUGAGCUGAACGUGGGCUUGGUUUGAAUACUCUUACUGCACAUAUUACUCUGUGUUCGCGCGGUUGAACUUUAUGUUAACUUUAGCCCUCAUUCAGUCGACUAAUUCUGUGGAGUCUGCAGCUCCAACAGCGAAUAAACUGUAAGAAAACCAGUCACUUCGGGAGUUUAGAUGUUUAUUGCGAAACACAAUAAAGUUAUUCAUUUUUUUCAGAUUCUGUUUGAUAGGAAAUGGUUUUGCGUGAGUACACUAAACUAAUCUUCAUUUUCCCUCUCUUUCUUUCACAACUCUUUGACUUUCUGCACCACACCCCAGGUGCACUGAACAGGAAAACGAGAGAGAGAGAGAGCGAGAGCGCGAGAGAGAGCGAGACGGAGGGAGAAAGAGGAAGAGAAGGGUUGUGUCUUUCCGGCCUAGAUUAAUGCGAGUUUAACCUCAGAGAACAGCCACAGCACGGAGAAAAGAACAGAACUGAGACUGAGAUGAAGAGAUGUCAUGGUUAUGAAUAAAAAGUCAUCGUGUUUAAAUCUCUGCUGAAGAAACUAAAGCUGCAGAUGUUUAUGAUUUUCGGGACAUGCUGAAGCUCACGGCACGUACCUGAAUCGAACAUAUCCAAUCGCGGUACAAGAAAAAGCAAAAAAUAAAUAAAAAGCUCUUCACCGAGGUGCUGCAGUGAAACAGGAUGUACCUGCUUUUCAUCUCUCUGGUCUUCUCGCUAGCUCUCGGACCUGACGUCAGGCUCCUGAACGCAGAGGAGUCCACGAGCAUGCCGAGUAAAGAGAGCACGGUCUUCCCGCAGGUGACCGGAUCGAGAUCAGGUGAAAACUCUCCCACUGAGCCUGAGGAAACAACCAUGAAGAACAUGGAGUAUGAUAACAACAACUUCUCCACCACUGAAGGUCUAACAACUGAGACUGGGAAUGUGCCGCAAACAUCAGACGGACGCACAGUGAUGUCCAUUCCAGAGCUUCAGACUACUUCAGAGCUUCAGACCACGUCAGUGCAUCUGACUCCAGAGCCUGCAACCAUUCCUGCGACCGUCAUGACGACGAAUGAGCUCACCACUCCGGCUGCUCCUUCCGAACCCACGUCUCAGCCCGUGACGGAGAAGACCACUAUGACAAACAUCAUCAGCACUAAGCCUCCUGAGACCCCAUCUCAAACCAUCCCUGAUACAACAGCCUUAAGCACAAAACCACCAGUUUUCACACCUACACCUGCUUCUGUUGAGAAAGUGGAGACCACCGACACUUCUCCAACAACCAUGCCCACACCUAGCACCACCACCACCAUCACCACCACCACCACCACCACCAUGCCCACCACCCCCCUCAUCACCACCAUGCCCACCACCCCCCUCAUCACUACCCAGGGGCAGGCCACCAACCUGAACCUUGUACUGUCUACAGAGGGUGAAGGGUCCAGGACGGGAACUAAAUGGUUAAUCAUCGCUGUCAUAGCGUUGGUCAUUUUCGGCAUAUUAACGAUUUUUUGCGUCACCAUCCUCAUCAAACGCAAGCAGAAGCGAAGUGGCAAGCAGAGCUUCGGCUACACGAACGGACAGAGGUCCAAGAAGAAGAAAGGCACGGAGGACAACGUCUGGGCGGGGCCCGUGGAAUUAGGAGGCGGGGAUUGCGAGGCUCCAGAUGAAGGCGAUGUGCAAGGAGAGGAGAAGAAGACGGACGGGGGAGGGGAGGUGACGGGGCUCAGCACUUUCGUGCCUUCGGAGGAGAACGGAGGCGUGGGGCGGCCGGGGUCACCCGAGGUCGGGAAGUGGGAG
ensembl:lncRNA